UCACUAAGUAAGCUGUAUAAAUGUCUAAUCACUACGUCGUACAUCUGAAACUAAUAUAAUAUUGAAUGUCAACUGUGAUUGAAAAAUAAAUAUUUUAAAAGAACAUUUAAAAAAAUUAUGACUUCUGGAGUGGAAGGAAAGAGGCUCCCUGGACUAAGACUUGGCCCUGCAAACAUGCCUCCCCGGGGCGCUGUGGGCUGUGACCAGUUCUCAGUCACAUUGUGAAGGACUUGCUUGUUUGCCUUGCCUCGCCUCCUCCCCCUGCGCCCGCCCCCCCACCUCCCCCGUUUCUUUCUCUGAUGCAAUCUCCAACUAGACUUUCAAAACUAGUGAUUCUUUUUCUCACUGGCGACAGCCCCACACUGUCACAUUGUGGAAUUCGCAAGUCAUUCACAGAAGCUGCAAAUGCGAGAUACCAGUCAGGCACCAGACUGGGACUCCACACUCUUCAGCAGCCCACGGGCUGAAGCAGGAAGGAAACAGCCUGCUCGAUUUUCCCUCUGGGAAGCGAGUGAUAAUUACUCCCAGGGCUUGGGCCCUCCCCGGGGAUGUGAGAGCUCAGAGGAAGACAAGUUCAGAAGAGUCUCUGAGCGGCCCACGUGAGCUCGUUAGCUAGCUGGGAGUGCUGAAUGCGAGCCAUGCAGGGUUCCCUGCUGGCCCUGGCCGGAGUCCAGGAGCAGCCAGGAGGCAGCUCUGCCCUCACGUACGUGCACUCGAGUCUGACUCACGGCUCCUCCGGACGGACACAGGGUGGACUUCAAAUACGCAUAGCACCCGGCAGGCCCCAAAAGGGCCACCCGGCUGCCUUCCCCACGUGGGUCAGCUCAACGCCAGGCCGUGGACAGGGCAUGGGUGGGGGCCGAGGACGGCUCAGAGACCAGUGGUUGUGAGCCUGGAGUGCAGGCUGCGAGUCAGAACUCAGUUUUCAUCUUUGUUUACCUGCGGGUUGGCUGUGUGAACUUGGAGAAGUUGUAAAACCCUGCAAAGUGUUCUCGUGUUUCCCCUAUAACGUGGUGUAACAUUAGCCUUCUCACAGGGUGUCAUGAGAAUUGAGCCAGGAAAUAGACGGGGAAGUCUGAGCACAGA